rnacentral:rRNA from 1 species
CAUAACACCAUACCAAGCUGAAAGCUCUGGUCUUGCCUGAUCUCUGAAGCUAGUCAGGGUCAGGCCUGGUUAGUACUUGGAUCAGAGAAAAGAGAAAAAAUACUGGAGUUAGAC